rnacentral:lncRNA from 1 species
CAAGUUUCAUCAACAGCAAAUCCACGCUACAGCUUCACAGUCCCGCCGAAGUCAACCAGAAGACCCAUCCUUUUAGCAAAUCCACACUUUUCUUGCACUCUCAACACCACAUCAACACCCAUCUUCCCCGAUCUCUUCAUCUCCUUUAGCACUGAAGAGAAACCGAACGGUGGAGCAGAGAACACAGACAGCAGAGGAGGCCAGCAUCACCAUCGAUUUCCUUUCUCCAGAAGCAGGGGUCUACCGCCACAUCAACACCCAUCUUCCCCGAUCUCUUCAUCCCUUUUAGCUCUGAAGCUUCCUCCAGCAGUGGCCAACACACGGCAGCCCCUACGGACACCUCAUUUACUUCUGGUGCUCGACC